UGGGGAAUUUUGCGCAAUGGGCGAAAGCCUGACGCAGCGACGCCGCGUGAGGGAUGAAGGCCUUCGGGUUGUAAACCUCUUUCAGCAGGGACGAAGCGAAAGUGACGGUACCUGCAGAAGAAGCCCCGGCCAACUACGUGCCAGCAGCCGCGGUAAUACGUAGGGGGCAAGCGUUGUCCGGAUUUAUUGGGCGUAAAGAGCUCGUAGGCGGCUAUUCACGUCGGGUGUCAAAGCUCGGGGCUCAACCCUGAGAGGCCAUUCGAUACGGAAUAGCUAGAGGCAGGUAGGGGAGAGUGGAAUUCCUGGUGUAGCGGUGAAAUGCGCAGAUAUCAGGAGGAACACCGAUGGCGAAGGCAGCUCUCUGGGCCUUGCCUGACGCUGAGGAGCGAAAGCUGGGGGAGCGAACAG
rnacentral:rRNA from 1 species